rnacentral:rRNA from 1 species
CCUACGGGCGGCAUCAGUGAGGAAUAUUGGUCAAUGGGCGUAAGCCUGAACCAGCCAAGUCGCGUGAGGGAUGAAGGUUCUAUGGAUCGUAAACCUCUUUUAUAAGGGAAUAAAGUGCGGGACGUGUCCCGUUUUGUAUGUACCUUAUGAAUAAGGAUCGGCUAACUCCGUGCCAGCAGCCGCGGUAAUACGGAGGAUCCGAGCGUUAUCCGGAUUUAUUGGGUUUAAAGGGUGCGUAGGCGGCCUUUUAAGUCAGCGGUGAAAGUCUGUGGCUCAACCAUAGAAUUGCCGUUGAAACUGGGAGGCUUGAGUAUGUUUGAGGCAGGCGGAAUGUGCGGUGUAGCGGUGAAAUGCAUAGAUAUCGCGCAGAACUCCGAUUGCGAAGGCAGCAUGCCGGCUCCACACUGACGCUGAGGCACGAAAGCGUGGGUAUCGAACAGGAUUAGAUACCCCUGUAGUC